CAUGAUAUUUUUUGUAAGUCGCUCUGGAUAAGAGCGUCUGCUAAAUGACGUGAA
rfam:Salmo salar isolate Sally breed double haploid chromosome ssa10, whole genome shotgun sequence.